rnacentral:rRNA from 1 species
GAUGAACGCUGGCGGCGUGCCUAAUACAUGCAAGUCGAGCGAACAGACGAGGAGCUUGCUCCUCUGACGUUAGCGGCGGACGGGUGAGUAACACGUGGAUAACCUACCUAUAAGACUGGGAUAACUUCGGGAAACCGGAGCUAAUACCGGAUAAUAUAUUGAACCGCAUGGUUCAAUAGUGAAAGACGGUUUUGCUGUCACUUAUAGAUGGAUCCGCGCCGCAUUAGCUAGUUGGUAAGGUAACGGCUUACCAAGGCAACGAUGCGUAGCCGACCUGAGAGGGUGAUCGGCCACACUGGAACUGAGACACGGUCCAGACUCCUACGGGAGGCAGCAGUAGGGAAUCUUCCGCAAUGGGCGAAAGCCUGGCGGAGCAACGCCGCGUGAGUGAUGAAGGUCUUCGGAUCGUAAAACUCUGUUAUUAGAGAAGAACAAAUGUGUAAGUAACUAUGCACGUCUUGACGGUACCUAAUCAGAAAGCCACGGCUAACUACGUG